GGCCGGUUAGCUCAGUCGGUUAGAGCGUGGUGCUGAUAACACCAAGGUCAGGGGUUCAAUCCCCGUUCAGUCCC
rnacentral:tRNA from 1 species